rnacentral:rRNA from 1 species
UACAGAGGUCCCAAGCGUUGUUCGGAUUCACUGGGCGUAAAGGGUGCGUAGGUGGCGGGGUAAGUCAGGUGUGAAAUCUCGGGGCUCAACCCCGAAACUGCACUUGAUACUGCCUUGCUUGAGUACUGGAGAGGAGAUUGGAAUUUACGGUGUAGCAGUGAAAUGCGUAGAUAUCGUAAGGAAGACCAGUGGCGAAGGCGAAUCUCUGGACAGUUACUGACACUGAGGCACGAAGGCCAGGGGAGCAAACGGG